AUGCCCGAUGAUUACAACAAGACGCGUUAUUACGAGGACCAGUGCUGGAACUCCCUUCCUGUUUUCUGUCAUCCCUCCCAUCUUUUUCUCAGUCCCCCAAAUUUCACUUCCUAUCCUUCUCUUUCUACUCCCUCCCCCCAAAUCCUUGGAGUAUCCAGUGUCCUGUGAGCAAGAUUAUGAGAUAUGAGGGCAA